AUGCUCCGCACAAAAUUGCCACCUCUCCUCAUCCAGCCCCAUGCUCGUGUACAAGGUCCUCUUCUUCCUGCUGCCAAUGGUUGCCAUCAGCUAUACACAUGUGUAGUUAUCGAUCCAGCCAACGAAAAGACCUCCCUUCGCUGCCAGAUUCCUAUAGAAACUACGGAGAAGAUGAUAUAUAUUGGCUCAUCCUAUGGUAAUAUGAUCUACUUCUGCUACGGAUAUUGUCACAUCGUCGAUGUGUUCACUGGUGUGGAGGUUUCAACUCCACGUCUCCCAUCCAGUGUCAAACGUGAGACAUUCUACUUGAACGGCAUUCUAACGCCCCCCCUUACAUCACCCAACUCACAUCUCCUUGUCAGUACCGAGUUCUCCCUGUUUGAUUUUCUUGUUGGAAGUGACUCUUGGUCUGAAGUCCAGCUUCCUCAUAUGUUGGUAAUAGACCAAAUUGUGGAAUUCAAUGGGCAGGUCAUUGUCUCAGACGGCUUCCAGAGGUUCUACACUCUGCAGUUGGCCCCUCGGCUUGGUCUACAAGAGAUGACAACCAAGUCCCAGGAUAGGAGUGAAGACUGGCGUGGUAAAACAUGGCUGGUGGUUUGUGGUGGCAUGCUUCUCAUGGUCAAUGUUUUUCCUUUUAAUGAGGUCUACUGCUUCGACGUGUCGACCAAGCCAGCAACAUGGAUGGCAGUGGAGAAGCUAGACAAUUGGGCACUCUUUCGAGGGGAGGAAGUUAAGAGCGCGCCACUCUCUUGCAUGAGCUCGGAACUAUUGGGAUUGGGGAGCAACAUCUUGUUGUAUGCAUGCCUUCUUGGCUCUAAGCCGUGGGAUCUACACCAUCUGUGUGGAGGUCCGGAUCCCAUGCAUGACACACCGCCCGAUGCAGGAGACGCGCCCGAACCGUGGGUAUGGGAUUCACCACUUCCUCGCGCGAGCCUAGAAUCAUGGUUGGUGGCUCCGGCGCUUCCUUGCACGAGCUUCUUGGAGCCACGGGAAUGGGAUUUGCCGGCGCUUCCUUGCGUGAGCCUGGAACCAUGGUGGGCGGCUCCGGCGCUUCCUUGCACAAGCCCAUACGGAUGGGGAGGGUGGAAUGACACCUCACGCUCCGACCCUUGGCAUCUACUACGCAGACCGCCGCCGUUCUGGCUGUACCCGAGCAUGUUCUACUCUGGUGGCCAGUGA
rnacentral:rRNA from 1 species